CGCACAGAGCCCAACGUGGGGCUCGAACCCACAAACUGUGAGAUCACGACCUGAGCCGAAGUCGGAUGCUUCACCGACUGAGCCACCCAGGUGCCUGGCUUAAUUGGCUUCUAAAGUAAAUACGCUUUCCCAUCACGUUGUGACUAUCUGCUCCAAGAGUCCUGCUUUUUACAAAGUGAAUUUUCUUAUCUCCAAGGCUUUAGGUGUCUUUCUCUUCUACUUUACUGGAGGGGGGGAGCCCCCCAAAACAACAUGCAGCCAAGCCUCCAGUGGCUCUCAAGAGGGCCAGAUCAGGGCUCCCAGGCACCUGUAAUAAGAACUCUUUGCCCUUCCCCCCAGCUUGAAUGUCCCUUCGGAGAAAGGAUCACAGGGUGCCUUCGGGGUCAGGUAUGAGGAUUAUGCGGAUAGUUGGUUCUCCAACCUGAUCAACCUUGGACUCCAUAGACGGUGUCCAUCCAGCGGCUGGUCAGGAUGACAGCCCAGACGCAGAACCAGCGGGGAACACGGUGUCCCCGCCCUCCGUUCCGCUGGGAAGACGGCCGAGGCAAAUCAAACAGGAAAAACGGCCGCAUUUGCUCAUAAGGGACAAGGAACAUUUUGCUAUUGAAGACCGGAGGUGACUGUAGUGGCUUCUCCAUUUGAAGGGCACUGGCAUCACUCAUUUCCACGGGAAAACGAAUUCCCUCCUGCUCAGUGGAGCUGGGGGGACUGAAGAUUUGCUGUCCCUGGCAUUUGUCGUCACCUGAGGUGGGUGGCCUUGUGCUUAGGGGGCGUGUGGGAGCUUCUGGCUGAGCAGAGGCAGGAGCAGGCCUGGAACUGAGUGGGGGCCCAGGGGGCAGCUACAUUGUCUGAGAAAUUACAGAACGGAGUCAAAGGGUAGGGGCAAAGGAAGUUCAGAAAUGGAGAAGUACGGCCUUGGGAAAGAACUGGCGGGGGGUGGGGGUGGCCACGAUGGACAAGACGCAGAUGCCGUGGAGAAAACCGCCCGGUGAGAAGUUUCCAACAUGGGGGAUUCACAUCACUGAUGUCAUUUGUACCUUCUCCAGGUGCUGAUCCUGAGAAUACUCCCUACCAAACUUCAGUGGCUGAUCUCCAUCUCAGAGUGUGCUUCCCAGAGAACCCAACCUGGGACACCUCCAAUGACACCACUCUCCAGAAGAGUUAGAUGCCCUCAAAGGAGCCAUCCUGCUGUCCCCAGCUAUUGUUAGGAGAUGUGGAGCCACGUCUAACUCCUGCCUCGUUCUGCCUUCUCAGGCCACUCAUAAAUAGGUGGCUGAGAGAAGGGAAGGAGAAAUCAAGUCACUGAUACUCGCUGCCCAGGAACGACCACCACGUGUCUCACAGAAAGGCGUUGGAGAUGCCAUUGUUGCCAACAUCUCAAUUAACAACAUCUUCGCUGAAAUUACUUUUUGGCCUAAAUCACUUGGAUACAAAGAAUAUUAAAUGGUUGCCUUGCUCAAAAGUA